GAGUGUUUGGCCGAGUGGUUAAGGCGCCGUGUUUAGGUUUCCGCUUCUACGAAAGUAUAAAGCGUAAACAUAAACCCGCGGUGGGAAACCGCGCAGGUUCGAAUCCUGCAGCACUCA